AAAUUGAAGAGUUUGAUCAUGGCUCAGAUUGAACGCUGGUGGCAGGCCUAACACAUGCAAGUCGAACGGUAACAGGAAGCAGCUUGCUGCUUUGCUGACGAGUGGCGGACGGGUGAGUAAUGUCUGGGAAACUGCCUGAUGGAGGGGGAUAACUACUGGAAACGGUGGCUAAUACCGCAUAACGUCGCAAGACCAAAGAGGGGGACCUUCGGGCCUCUUGCCAUCAGAUGUGCCCAGAUGGGAUUAGCUUGUUGGUGAGGUAACGGCUCACCAAGGCGACGAUCCCUAGCUGGUCUGAGAGGAUGACCAGCCACACUGGAACUGAGACACGGUCCAGACUCCUACGGGAGGCAGCAGUGGGGAAUAUUGCACAAUGGGCGCAAGCCUGAUGCAGCCAUGCCGCGUGUAUGAAGAAGGCCUUCGGGUUGUAAAGUACUUUCAGCGGGGAGG
rnacentral:rRNA from 1 species